AUGGAGCCGUCAGCUAAGGAAGAUACGCAGCCGAAGCCGCGGCUCAUCGUUCGGCUUGGCAUAUUCCUCGCUUCUCACCACAUACUCUUCAGCGCCUUGUGCUGUUCCGCGGGCAUUAUCGCACUCCUCUUCCUCCCAUCACUUGCAAAAAACACAUACCUCUCGGAGAACGCUCUUAUACCUGGCUCUGCAAAUCCAUUGUUCUCCAGCGAGGAUGUCACGGAAGCUAACAAGUUUAUCAAAGGAAUUGAAGCUGCAGCUGGGGGAUCAAGAGGAGGAAUGGAAAUGCCAAAAUUCAUAGUGCAACAAAUGAAAGAUCUGGGUGCAGAAGUGUGUUACCAUGAAUUCCUCCCUCAUAGCAAGCAUUUUCAUCCUCUGAAGUUCUUCACUUCCAUGACAAACGAUUUGGCGGUUCGACCCAAUGGCACCUAUUCCAACUCUGGAACUAAUACAAUUGGCAUUAUACGAGCUCCUAGGGGUGAUGGAAAAGAAGCUAUAGUAUUGGUUACUCCUUACAAUCCUCAGAGAGUUCAGGCAAAUGAAGUAUUAUCUCUCGCACUUGGUUUCUCUGUCUUCUCCCUCUUAAGUCGAGCUGCAUGGCUGUCAAAGGAUAUUGUGUGGUUAUCUGCCGACUCGCAAUUUGGGGAGUACACCUCAGUCUCUGCAUGGUUAAAUCAGUACCAUAACCCUAUGUUUGUGGGUGGUGUUAAACAUGAACCUGAUGGUAUUGCAGAAAAGGCUGAAUUUACGGAUUUCAAACGUGCUGGAACGAUGGCUGCUGCUCUCAUAUUUAAAGUUGGGGAAACUAGGAACUACGGUGAUAGAGAUAGUGUUACAAUGUACGCGGAGGCAUCUAAUGGCCAAAUGCCAAACUUGGACCUUCUGAAUGUGGUGCACUAUCUAGCUGUUCAUAGACAAGGUUUUCGUGUGAACAUUGAGACAAUUAGUUCGUUGUUGAGUUCUGCAUGGCUUAGGGCUAUUGCUGAAGUGAUUCAUACUCUUGGGAGUAUAUUGAGAAAAAUAAAUCCUGACUGGAAGCUUGAUAUUUCAGCCCCUGAUUAUGUGGAGGGGACUGCCAACCUUGCUAGCUCUAUUUAUAAUCAGCAGGCUCUUGGAGUGCCCACCGGAUCUCAUGGCGCGUUCCGUGACUAUCAAGUUGAUGCCGUUUCUUUAGAAUUUUCACCAACAUUUUAUAUCAGAAAUGAGAAUGCCAAAUCAUCAUUUCUUGUAAGGGGUGGAAGGUUACUUGAAGGGGUGGUACGUUCUGUGAAUAACCUGCUCGAGAAGUUCCAUCAAUCAUUUUUCCUAUAUUUCCUCACAGCUCCGAGCAAGUUUAUUUCAGUUGGUGUCUAUAUGAUUCCUUUUGCACUGCUUGUGGUUCCCCUCCCAAUAGUUGCUGCUGCUCUUGCCGAUGGCGGUAGAAAAAUGGGAAAAUCAAUCGAGGCCAGUAAAUCAAAGGGCAGUGCUGAUAAUCUGCAAACCGAGGGUGGAUCAUGGAAAUGGCUUCAAGCUGCAAGAGUUCUGCUUGUUAUCCAACUUUGGGCAGUGAUUGUUUCAUUACUACCGUACUACAUCAGUCAAAUUCCCGAUGGUACACCAAUACAAAGUUCAGUGAUCUGGGUGGUGCUUGCCAUUUUGACGUUGAUCGUCCUAUAUGCCAUGUUUGGUUCACCAUACUCUGCUGGUGUUGAAUGGAAACUUCUGAAGGCCACGAUGAUCACUUCAAUCUCAAUAGGGCUGGGGCUUAUGUCGAUAAUAAAUUUCGCUACUGCUCAGCUUGGGGCGUUGAUUGUGAUCCCAAUGUGCCUGUUUUCUCGGCCGCUGAAAGCACAGCUUGAUAUGAGCUUCCUUCCACGGACAGUAUUGUGUGCUUCAAAUAUACUUCUUGCCGUCUUUGGUUUCCCUCCAGCUGCAUUGUUGAUUAUGAAAGGGCUGUCCAAGGGGUCCUGGACGGUAGACCUUGGAGAUUUCUGGGCGUCAAUGGAGUUCUUGUGGGAAUGGAGUAGCGCCACGUAUCUGUAUCUGUUUCUUGUCCAUCUUCCCUGCUGGCUUCUAUGCAUCCAUGUCUUGCUACAUCCAUGUCGCCAAGUGGGAUCAAAGGUUAAGCGGGAGUAG
rnacentral:rRNA from 1 species